UCAAAAAUAGUUUAAUAUUAAAAUUUUAAUUUUGGAGAUUAAAGAUAAAUAUGUUUUUUUUUGAA
rnacentral:tRNA from 1 species